rnacentral:rRNA from 1 species
UACGGGGGGGGCAAGCGUUGUUCGGAAUUACUGGGCGUAAAGGGCUCGUAGGUGGCCAACUAAGUCAGACGUGAAAUCCCUCGGCUUAACCGGGGAACUGCGUCUGAUACUGGAUGGCUUGAGUUCGGGAGAGGGAUGCGGAAUUCCAGGUGUAGCGGUGAAAUGCGUAGAUAUCCGGAGGAACACCAGUGGCGAAGGCGACUUCCUGGCCUGUUCUUGACGCUGAGGCGCGAAAGCUGGGGGAGCAAACGGG